UUAACCAUGAUAACGACAAUGAUAGCUUGAAAAAAGUUGGUCCUUUGAUCCAAAAAUACAAAAAAAAGAAAGAUAUUGAAGCAUUCCAGAUACCUAAAGAACCUAAUCAAACAUCGCAAGUAUAUAUAGCUUAUUAGAGCAACUUCAAGAAUCUCUUAAAAAAUUUUCCCCAAAAAUAUUAUGUACUGAGGGUUCGAUCUCCUAAAAUUUU
rnacentral:lncRNA from 1 species